UCAUGUGAGUCCUAGGGUAAAUCAGGUCUUCUGAUAAGAUAAAGGCAAGUGCCUCUACACACUCUGCAGUCACAUUGGUCCCUUUUCCAUGUUAAGCAACCUUGCUUUGAGAAAUUUAGAUUUCAUUUCUCUGAUAUGAUAUCUAAUAGUCGUUCUUGUCACAAAAGGAAAAGAUCAUGGUCUUUUUAGUGAGUUGAUAUAAAUAUCUACUGAUUGCUACUCCAUUUUAUUUUGUAUUUUUUAUUUCUUUUUCUUUUUCAUUAUUUUACUUAUUUACAUUUCACAUGUUGUCCCCUUUCCUCAUCUCCUCUCUGCAAACCCUCCACUCCCUCCCCCUUCCGUUUGCCUCUAAGAGCCACCCAUCCACUCCUGCCUCACCGGUCUAGCACCCACCUUCUUUGGGGCAACAAGGCCUCCACAGGACCCGGUGUCUUCCUCCCACUGAUGCCAGAUAAGUAGUCCUCUGCUCCAUACAUUGUUAGAGCCAUGGACCACUAGUGCCCUCAUUGCUAGUUCUGUUAGUGUCCUGUGACUAUAAUUUGUCCUGAUUGGGGCCUUGGGCUUUCCUCUUUUGAGCUUUGUUUCUAGUAUGACAUGCAGUGCUUUCUUAAGGCUUUCGAGCCUCUACUGAGAAAAGUGUGACAGUCAAGGUACUAAACAGUUUUGCUUUCCUUCUGUUUUUAUUAUACUAUCUUUUGACAUAAACCAGUUUUGCCCUUAUUGCUUAAAUCUAGAAUUUGUUAUCUUUUGUAUUUUUUCCAGUGAUAGAUAAUUUUGAGAAUUGGUCUUUUUGUAUCUGCUGGUUAUGUAUUAAAUUGCUACUCUUAAUUUCCUCAAAGCCAUCCCUCCUAUCCAUCUUUCCUUCAUGUUUUGUUCUUUGGGAUCAUUUAUUUUUUCAAUUACUCUUUUAGUACAUCUCACUGUCAUCUGUGAGCCAUGUGCUUUAUUAGUUACUAAAUUAGGUUGAAAUCAUGACUGUUGCUUUGAAUGUAUCAUUUUAUUUUUGACCAUUUCAACUCUGAGCUGAGAUGGCCACGAUUUUUUUGUUUGUUUGUUUUUCUAAAUGUUGUCUAAUAUUCUAGCAUGAUAUACUGACUUUCACGCUGGACUCUUUCUCUCAUAUUCUCAUUAAUUCCAUUGCUUUGGGAUUCUGACUCAGCAGUGUUGUUUGAUAUGAUAGCUGCUCAGGUAUGAAGGCAUGGUGGAGCAUGAGAAAUGUACACUUUAAUUGUCUUUCCUCAGGAACAUACAAUUCCUCUUUUUCACUUUUGCUCAUCUUGCAGCUAUAUUGCCUCAGAGGAAAAAUAAGUAAUUAUUUUUUUUGCCUAAGUUAAAUGUUAUUUGGUUAUUUGGAGACAUAAAUGUUUCUUCUCAGCAAUUUAAGAAUUAAAAAUAUGUCCAUGAACUUUUCUUUAAUGUAUAUAUUUAAAAAAUCAUUUUCAGGCCGGGCGGUGGUAGCGCAUGCCUUUAGAUCCCAGCACUUGGGAGGCAGAGGCAGGCGGGUUUCUGAGUUCGAGGUCAGCCUGGUCUACAAAGUGAGUUCCAGGACAGCCAGGACUACACAGAUAAACCCUGUCUCCAAAAAAACCAAAAAAAAAUCAUUUUCUCUUAUAUAAAAAUGGGAAUAUAAGGAAAAUAGCACAGAAUGU
rnacentral:lncRNA from 1 species